rnacentral:rRNA from 1 species
UACAGAGGUCUCGAGCGUUAGGCGGAAUCACUGGGCUUAAAGCGUGUGUAGGCGGAUCGGUAAGUACCUUGUGAAAUCCCACGGCUUAACCGUGGAACUGCUUGGUAUACUGCCAGUCUUGAGCCAUCUAGGGGCUACCGGAACAAAUGGUGGAGCGGUGAAAUGCGUAGAGAUCUGGAAGAACACCAAUGGCGAAGGCAGCAUCCUGGGAAGACCCUGACGCUAAUGUGCGAAAGCUAGGGGAGCGAACGGG